rnacentral:rRNA from 1 species
UACGAAGGGUGCAAGCGUUAAUCGGAAUUACUGGGCGUAAAGGGUGCGUAGGCGGUUGUUUAAGUCUGUCGUGAAAUCCCCGGGCUCAACCUGGGAAUGGCGAUGGAAACUGGGCAGCUAGAGUGUGUCAGAGGAUGGUGGAAUUCCCGGUGUAGCGGUGAAGUGCGUAGAGAUCGGGAGGAACAUCAGUGGCGAAGGCGGCCAUCUGGGACAACACUGACGCUGAAGCACGAAAGCGUGGGGAGCAAACAGG